GCUACAUCCUGCGUCAUGGUCCCCUUAGUAAUUCAAAGAAAAUGGCAGAAAAAGAACGACUGCUUGACCGAAGGACGAAGCUUGUUGUGUACAAACGCAGACAAGAAUUUAAGGUGGAGAGGGAAGUGAGGAAGCAAAGACUGAGGGUAAAGAGGAAGGAAGAAAAGGUUUUGAAGAUGGAGAAUAUCUCAGAGUUAUGCAACAACCCAGAAAGCCCCAAUAGGUUAAAUCUUCGCUAUGGGCCAAUGCCAGAUAGGUCACCUAAACUA